UACUUCUCCAGUGGCCUAGUGGUUAGAGCACUGGCCUCAAAUGCAGGAGGAAGUGUGUUCAAAUCCCAGCUGAGUCA